rnacentral:rRNA from 1 species
ACCCGGUCGAUCCCGCCAGUAGUCAUACGCUCGUCUCAAAGAUUAAGCCAUCGCAUCGUCUCAGUAUAAGCUUUUAUACGGCGAAACUCGCGAAUGGCUCAUUAAAACAGUUAUAGUUUAUUUGAUGGUCAUUCUUACAUGGAUAACCGUGGUAAUUCUAGAGCUAAUACAUGCGCCAAAACCCGACUUCUUGGAAGGGUUGUGUUUAUUAGUUACAAAACCAACCCAGGCUCCGCCUGGUCUUGUGGUGAUUCAUAAUAACCGAACGAAUCGCAUGGCUCUGCCGGCGAUGAAUCAUUCAAGUUUCUGACCUAUCAUCUUCCGACGGUAGGGUAUUGGCCUACCGUGGCAAUGACGGGUAACGGAGAAUUAGGGUUCGAUUCCGGAGAGGGAGCCUGAGAAACGGCUACCACAUCUAAGGAAGGCAGCAGGCGCG